rnacentral:misc_RNA from 1 species
GAUGAAGAACGCAGCGAAAUGCGAUACGUAAUGUGAAUUGCAGAAUUCAGUGAAUCAUCGAAUCUUUGAACGCAUAUUGCGCUCUCUGGUAUUCCGGAGAGCAUGCUUGUUUGAGUAUCAGUAAACACCUCAACUCCCUUUUCUUUUUUGAAAUGGGAGCUGGACUUGAGUGAUCCCAACACUUUUCUCACUGGAAAGUGGCGGGUCACUUGAAAUGCAGGUGCAGCUGGACUUUUCUCUGAGCUAUAAGCAUAUCUAUUUAGUCUGCCUAAAAACAGAUUAUUACCUUUGCUGCAGCUAACAUAAAGGAGAUUAGUUCUUGUGCUGACUGAUGCAGGAUUCACAAAGACAGGCUUCGGCCGACUUUGUAAACUCGAUCUCAAAUCAAGUAAGACUACCCGCUGAACUUAAGCAUAUCAAUAAGCGGAGGA